GUUUACUUCUCAUUUUCAGUCUGAUUUUAAAAUAUAAGAAACUAUUAGGCUGUUAAAAUUUUUAGUUUUAAAUUCAGAAUGCACGCUUGUAAAGUAUACGGAACCAUCUGUAACAUUGGACUACUAGUUCUAAUCGAAAUGAAUUACAUUUUUCGCAUAAUUUGCCAGCCACUGAGGUCCGAGGAUACUGAUCUGAAUUCGGCUAUAUUUAUUGCUGCCAUCCACAUUUACCUACUCCAAGUUGGACCACUUUGCAUGAUCGGAAGUCGAAGAAUAACUGCGACAAAACAUUUCAUUCGUUCUACAAUCCUUCACAUGGCGGGUGUCCAUCUGGCUCUGGCUCUCCUUUGGAACCCAACAGGUCUUGUGGUGGAAGGCAUUUUGUCUGCUGUGAAAACAAGUGAUUUACCCCAAUACAUGCACCUGAUUCGUCUUUCCACGGCCUUGAGCUUCUUGUGGUGCUGCUGGAAUCUUCCGAAAAAUCUGUGGGAUGCCCUUCCAUCGGAGAUCCAAUUAGGAAGUUUGGGCUUGCAUUAUAGGGAACGCUUUCCGAGGCGAAGAAAACCCUCAUAUCAUGCUGUUUCCAGGGGACUCCUAAGUCGUAUUUAAAUUGAUAUAGCACCCAAUGCAAUCAAAUAACCAUUGUCGAGGUGUGUAAAUGUGUGCUCAUCAUAUUUGACUUUCGAAUGUUUACCGACUGUAUAAUAUUCACAUAAUAUUUGUAUGUUUUAUAAAGUAGUUCUAAAAACAUGAAAA